UUGAACGCUGGCGGCAUGCUUUACACAUGCAAGUCGAACGGCAGCGGGGGCUUCGGCCUGCCGGCGAGUGGCGAACGGGUGAGUAAUGCAUCGGAACGUACCCAGUCGUGGGGGAUAACGCAGCGAAAGCUGUGCUAAUACCGCAUACGAUCUACGGAUGAAAGCAGGGGACCGCAAGGCCUUGCGCGGACGGAGCGGCCGAUGGCAGAUUAGGUAGUUGGUGGGAUAAAAGCUUACCAAGCCGACGAUCUGUAGCUGGUCUGAGAGGACGACCAGCCACACUGGGACUGAGACACGGCCCAGACUCCUACGGGAGGCAGCAGUGGGGAAUUUUGGACAAUGGGGGCAACCCUGAUCCAGCCAUUCCGCGUGAGUGAAGAAGGCCUUCGGGUUGUAAAGCUCUUUCAGCAGGAGCGAAACGGUCGUUUUUAAUACAGACGGCUAAUGACGGUACCUGCAGAAGAAGCACCGGCUAACUACGU
rnacentral:rRNA from 1 species